rnacentral:rRNA from 1 species
GCCUGAUCCAGCCAUGCCGCGUGCAGGAUGACGGUCCUAUGGAUUGUAAACUGCUUUUGUACAGGAAGAAACACUCCCUCGUGAGGGAGCUUGACGGUACUGUAAGAAUAAGGAUCGGCUAACUCCGUGCCAGCAGCCGCGGUAAUACGGAGGAUCCAAGCGUUAUCCGGAAUCAUUGGGUUUAAAGGGUCCGUAGGCGGUUUAAUAAGUCAGUGGUGAAAGCCCAUCGCUCAACGGUGGAACGGCCAUUGAUACUGUUAAACUUGAAUUAUUAGGAAGUAACUAGAAUAUGUAGUGUAGCGGUGAAAUGCUUAGAGAUUACAUGGAAUACCAAUUGCGAAGGCAGGUUACUACUAAUGGAUUGACGCUGAUGGACGAAAGCGUGGGUAGCGAACAGGAUUAGAUACCCUGGUAGUCCACGCCGUAAACGAUGGAUACUAGCUGUUGGGAGCAAUCUCAGUGGCUAAGCGAAAGUGAUAAGUAUC